CAGGCUUAACACAUGCAAGUCGAGCGGGGGAAGGUAGCUUGCUACCGGACCUAGCGGCGGACGGGUGAGUAACGCGUGGGAAUCUGCCCUCUGGUACGGAAUAACUCAGGGAAACUUGAGCUAAUACCGUAUAAUGACUUCGAUCCAAAGAUGUAUCGCCUGAGGAUGAGCCCGCGUUGGAUUAGCGAGUUGGUGGGGUAAAGGCCUACAAAGGCGAAGAUCCAUAGCUGGUCUGAGAGGAUGAUCAGCCACACUGGACGGAGACACGGCCCAGACUCCUACGGGAGGCAGCAGUGGGGAAUAUUGGACAAUGGGCGCAAGCCUGAUCCAGCCAUGCCGCGUGAGUGAUGAAGGCCCUAGGGUUGUAAAGCUCUUUCACCGGUGAAGAUAAUGACGGCAACCGGAGAAGAAGCCCCGGCUAACUUCGUGCCAGCAGCCGCCGUAA
rnacentral:rRNA from 1 species